rnacentral:rRNA from 1 species
GAACGCUGGCGGCGUGCCUAAUACAUGCAAGUCGAACGCACUCUCGUUAGAUUGAAGAAGCUUGCUUCUGAUUGAUAACAUUUGAGUGAGUGGCGGACGGGUGAGUAACACGUGGGUAACYUGCCCUAAAGUGGGGGAUAACAUUUGGAAACAGAUGCUAAUACCGCAUAAAACCUAGCACCGCAUGGUGCAAGGUUGAAAGAUGGUUUCGGCUAUCACUUUAGGAUGGACCCGCGGUGCAUUAGUUAGUUGGUGAGGUAAAGGCUCACCAAGACCGUGAUGCAUAGCCGACCUGAGAGGGUAAUCGGCCACACUGGGACUGAGACACGGCCCAGACUCCUACGGGAGGCAGCAGUAGGGAAUCUUCCACAAUGGACGAAAGUCUGAUGGAGCAACGCCGCGUGAGUGAAGAAGGUUUUCGGAUCGUAAAACUCUGUUGUUGGAGAAGAACGUAUUUGAUAGUAACUGAUCAGGUAGUGACGGUAUCCAACCAGAAAGCCASGGC